rnacentral:rRNA from 1 species
UACGUAGGGGGCAAGCGUUGUCCGGAAUCAUUGGGCGUAAAGCGCGUGUAGGCGGUUCGGUAAGUCGGCUGUGAAAGUCCAGGGCUCAACCCUGGGAUGCCGGUCGAUACUGCCGGACUAGAGUUCGGAAGAGGAGAGUGGAAUUCCUGGUGUAGCGGUGAAAUGCGCAGAUAUCAGGAAGAACACCUAUGGCGAAGGCAGCUCUCUGGGACGGUACUGACGCUGAGACGCGAAAGCGUGGGGAGCGAACAGG